AGAAUCGUGGGGACUCAGUCCCUAAAAUGGUGAGCUGUUAUAGGGAGAAGUCCUUUUCAUAAGGAGCCACUACAGAGGAAAAGAAUACUUUGACUUGUUGUGUAUCAACAAUAAAGCUCUUUAUAAAUUGCCCCUUAUACAACAUACCUGUGUGUAUGUAUGCAUUUAUAUUCAGAUCUACACAUAAAGGACUUUUAUGUAUAUAUGGCCAUGUCACCUAACAAUGGGGAUACAGUUAGAAAAGGCUUCAUUAGGCACUUUCAUGUUUAUAGGAACAUCAUUGCAUUUGCAUAGCCCUAGAUAGUCUGGGUCAGCCAAUCAAUGUGAUCUCUUGAGGUGAUCAACAUACCAUAAUUUAAAAAAAAAGUUUUUUGAGGUUAUAAUUACAACAUUUCUCCCUUCCCUUUCUCCAAACCCUCCUAUACACUCCUCCCCACUCUCCUUCAAAUCCAUGGCCUCUUUUCUUACUAAUUGUUAUGCAUGCAUAUAUCCAUACUUUUUUAUAGUAAGGGUUUUUAUUGAUUGGCUUGUUUAUUUUAGAUAGAGUUUCACUAUGUAGCCUAAGAUGGCCUUGAACUCAUUAUGUAGAGCAGGCUGGUUUUGAACUUGCAGUCUUCCUGCAUCAGCCUCCCACGUACUGGGAUCAGAGGCAUGAGCCAUCAUGCUUGGUGUAAAUUUUAUUAGUAGAAUGUGUAUACUCUAAGGAUAAAAGUAUAGUAUAGCAAAUGAGUAAGCUGGUAAUGUAGUUUGUCACCAUCACCAUGUGUCAUGUACUGUAUAUAAUUGCGUGUGCCGUGAUGUCUGGCUGCCUGCACAGAGGGUUUGUUUGCACAAAUGGGCAAUGCAUUGUGCCUAAAGUGCUAUAAUAGUUAAAGAGUCACGACAGCUCUUAUGUAAUCGGACAAGUAGGAAUUUUCCAGACCAGCUGUAGUCUGAUGAGACCACUCUAACAUAUGUUGUCAUUGGCUAAAACAUCCUCAUAGGCAAAUGGCUGUAUGCACACACUCACAUAUAUGUACAUACAUGUGUGUGCCAAAGUGGAUACAUAACACAUGCAAAGAGUUUAGGACUUUUUUUUCUCUCCAUAGCCCUUAAUGAUUAAAAAAGACUCAGUUUACUAAUUUAGAAUUUACUGUUUCAAAUUAAAAAUUUCCCUCAGGGGCGACUUCUUUCUGACUCCCCUAUAUCUGUAGUGGGCUCUGGUGUAGGAUCUAGCUGAAUAGAGUCUUACAGUACUAUAGAAGUUGGUCUGAGCAGACAGGUGGGCAGUCUGUCAUCCAAACAAUAUAUUACGUAUUGUAGAAGGCCAUUGUUAACAAGAGUCUCCUGCUAUGAACCUGUUUGCAUUUUAGAAUCAGAGAAACUUUUAAUUUAUAACCUUUUAAGAAUCGAGGUCUUCAGCUCUGAUAAUCUAUGAUAGUUAUAGGUUCAUUUCUAUCCUCAAGGCUCAAGAACACUAAUUGUUUUGUAACCUGUUCAAAUAUUUUUGCUAGUAAUGUAAUCAGUUAUCUUUAGUUUCUCCUAGCUUUGGUCUUAGUAGUGGAGUUGAGAACAUGCCCCCUUCCUUCUAUCUCUGAUUCUAUACCUGCUUCUAUAACUACUUAAAUUCUCAAAGCCAGCGACAGCCCAGAUGGAGGUAUCGCUUUGGUAUGUUUCCGUGUGUGGUUGCCUUUUUAUUACACAGCUUUUAAUAUUUUUUUUCCUUGUAGUGCUGACGACUGAAUCCAGGGCCUUGUGCAUGCUCAGGAGGUGCUCUCCCACUGAGCUGUGUCUGCAGCCCUUAGGAUUUCAGUAUAAAGUUGCAGAUGAAUAUUUUAUAUUAGACAAUCUACUCAUUACCUUAAUAUUUUAUAACUACCCUAGACCUAGUUCCUUUUAUCUUUGACUUAUCCCACUGGUUUGUCACUUUAGAAUUACUCCAGGAGCAUUAAUCAGACCCUUCUGUCUGAGCAAAAUAUUAGAAUUAAGCAGGCAUUCAGCACUUAAUUGACUUCUUUUGUCUCAUCAGUAGUUGUAUGUGUUUAAAUGUAUUUGCAGGAAAAAUAAGACUUGAAGGGAGCCUCUGAGUGUCUUCUUGUCCCUAGUGAGCAUGCUCAGUGCCCAGUGUUUGAUUCACAAAUGCCAUUUGCCUCCAGAGGGACUCAGGCCUCCUGGAAGAAGUGAACAGUGGCACGUUUGCAGUGAGAGGGGAAGGCAAGUGCACAGAGAGGAUAGUUCUGUGUUAGGACAUCAUUUUAGGGUUAUUGAUAUGAGUAGACACAGGGACUAACUUGAAGGUGCAUCCUUUGAUCAAACUUUAAGACACUUCAAACAAAAUACUCAUGACAGGGUUGGAUAUAAUAUUUUCUAAAGGUUAUGGGGGGAAAAGCUUUUUAUAACAUUUGAAGAAAAGCAUCCUUUAAAUAUAUACAAAGCAAUAACAAAAGCCUUUUAGCAACUGUCAUUGUCAUUAAAUCUAGCAAAAAGUUGAUUGAUGGUAAAGCCUAUUUCAUGAAAGACAAUUAAGGAACAUUUCCUCAUCCCGAGAGUACAGCUCUGAGUCGCAAGAGACACAUCUGCUUUCAUCCUGAGAUCUGGCAGGCAGAAGUCCCCUCCUGAGCAGCAGCCACUGUAGCUUCUCAUGAGGCCGCAGAAGCACAUUUUACUAUUUAUGACAUACUGCCAAAACCAGUUAGCGAGCAUCUAUGGAAAUCUCUUCUCUAGACAUACCUUUCUGCUUACAAAGAAUUGAGAGUAACAUGUUAGAUUAUAUGGUAAUCUAGAGUUUGAGACAUUGGAGAUGAUAAUUAAGUUGUACUUUUCAAAUAGCCAAUAUGUUGGAACAAAAAGAUGCCUGAGACAGCCACAUGCAAGGUGUGAUCUUUUAUUGAGAAAUAAAGUC
rnacentral:lncRNA from 1 species